CUACGGGUGGCACCAGUGAGGAAUUUUGCGCAAUGGGGGGAACCCUGACGCAGCAACGCCGCGUGAGUGAUGAAGGCUUUCGGGUCGUAAAGCUCUGUCAAGUGGGAAGAACCUAUGCAGUGUUAAUAUCACUGUAUACUGACGGUACCACUGAAGGAAGCACCGGCUAACUCCGUGCCAGCAGCCGCGGUAAUACGGGGGGUGCAAGCGUUAUUCGGAAUCAUUGGGCGUAAAGGGCACGUAGGCGGCUUGGUAAGUCAGAUGUGAAAGCCCGGGGCUUAACCCCGGAAGUGCAUUUGAUACUGUCAGGCUGGAGUAUGGGAGAGGGAAGUGGAAUUCCUGGUGUAGAGGUGAAAUUCGUAGAUAGCAGGAGGAACACCGGUGGCGAAGGCGACUGCCUGGACCAAUACUGACGCUGAGGUGCGAAGGCGUGGGUAGCAAACAGGAUUAGAUACCCGGGUAGUC
rnacentral:rRNA from 1 species